GACGGACGGUGCAAGCGUUGCUCGGAAUCACUGGGCGUAAAGGGUGCGUAGGCGGCUUCUUAAGUCUGGUGUGAAAGCCCAGGGCUCAGCUCUGGAAGUGCACUAGAUACUGGGAAGCUUGAGUACCGGAGGGGAGAGUGGAAUUCCUGGUGUAGCGGUGAAAUGCGUAGAUAUCAGGAGGAAUACCGGUGGCGAAAGCGACUCUCUGGACGGUUACUGACGCUGAGGCACGAAAGCGUGGGGAGCAAACAGG
rnacentral:rRNA from 1 species